rnacentral:rRNA from 1 species
UAGGGAAUCUUCCACAAUGGGCGCAAGCCUGAUGGAGCAACACCGCGUGAGUGAAGAAGGGUUUCGGCUCGUAAAGCUCUGUUGUUAAAGAAGAACACGUAUGAGAGUAACUGUUCAUACGUUGACGGUAUUUAACCAGAAAGUCACGGCUAACUACGUGCCAGCAGCCGCGGUAAUACGUAGGUGGCAAGCGUUAUCCGGAUUUAUUGGGCGUAAAGAGAGUGCAGGCGGUUUUCUAAGUCUGAUGUGAAAGCCUUCGGCUUAACCGGAGAAGUGCAUCGGAAACUGGAUAACUUGAGUGCAGAAGAGGGUAGUGGAACUCCAUGUGUAGCGGUGGAAUGCGUAGAUAUAUGGAAGAACACCAGUGGCGAAGGCGGCUACCUGGUCUGCAACUGACGCUGAGACUCGAAAGCAUGGGUAGCGAACAGGAUUAGAUACCCUGGUAGUCCAUACCGUAAACGAUGAGUGCUAGGUGUUGGAGGGUUUCCGCCCUUCAGUGCCGGAGCUAACGCAUUAAGCACUCCGCCUGGGGAGUACGACCGCAAGGUU